AGUUUGAUCCUGGCUCAGGAUGAACGCUGGCGGUCUGCUUAACACAUGCAAGUCGAACGGAAUCUUUCGGGAUUUAGUGGCGGACGGGUGAGUAACGCGUGAGAAUCUGCCUUCAGGUUCGGGACAACAGCUGGAAACGGCUGCUAAUACCGGAUGUGCCGAGAGGUGAAAGGUUAACUGCCUGGGGAUGAGCUCGCGUCUGAUUAGCUAGUUGGAGUGGUAACGGCACACCAAGGCGACGAUCAGUAGCUGGUCUGAGAGGAUGAUCAGCCACACUGGGACUGAGACACGGCCCAGACUCCUACGGGAGGCAGCAGUGGGGAAUUUUCCGCAAUGGGCGAAAGCCUGACGGAGCAAGACCGCGUGAGGGAGGAAGGCCUAUUGGUUGUAAACCUCUUUUGAUAGGGAAGAACACAAUGACGGUACCUAUCGAAUCAGCAUCGGCUAACUCCGUGCCAGCAGCCGCGGUAAUACGGAGGAUGCAAGCGUUAUCCGGAUUUAUUGGGCGUAAAGCGUCCGUAGGUGGCAAACCAAGUCAGUUGUUAAAGCGUAGAGCUUAACUCUAUAAGGGCAAUUGAAACUGGUUAGCUAGAGUGCGAUAGGGGCAAGGGGAAUUCCCAGUGUAGCGGUGAAAUGCGUAGAUAUUGGGAAGAACAUCGGUGGCGAAGGCGCCUUGCUGGGUCUGCACUGACACUGAGGGACGAAAGCUAGGGGAGCGAAAGGGAUUAGAUACCCCUGUAGUCCUA
rnacentral:rRNA from 1 species